rnacentral:rRNA from 1 species
AGUGAACGCUGGCGGUAGGCCUAACACAUGCAAGUCGAACGGCAGCACAGUAAGAGCUUGCUCUUACGGGUGGCGAGUGGCGGACGGGUGAGGAAUACAUCGGAAUCUACUUUUUCGUGGGGGCUAACGUAGGGAAACUUACGCUAAUACCGCAUACGACCUACGGGUGAAAGCAGGGGAUCUUCGGACCUUGCGCGAUUGAAUGAGCCGAUGUCGGAUUAGCUAGUUGGCGGGGUAAAGGCCCACCAAGGCGACGAUCCGUAGCUGGUCUGAGAGGAUGAUCCGCUACACUGGAACUGAGACACGGUCCCGACUCCUACAGGAGGCAGCAGUGGGGAAUAUUGGACAAUGGGCGCAAGCCUGAUCCAGCCAUACCGCGUGGGUGAAGAAGGCCCUCGGGUUGUAAAGCCCUGUUGUUGUGAAAGAAGAGCAGCAGGUUAAUACCCCGCUGUUCUGACGGUACCCAAAGAAUAAGCACCGGCUAACUUCGUG